UUCCUGACAAAACGAAAUGGUGUUUUCUAUUUGCUCCACUAUCUCUUUUCAUGUGUCAUCUUUUACGAUGCUGUAAGCCCCUGCCCCUUGUGAGUAUUUGUUCAUUUCUGUGACAUUGAGUUAUUCCCAUAAUAUAUAAUAUUGCAAGUUAGAUGUAUCCAUUUCUUCAAUGUCAUUUCAGCCUUAAAGAUAAAUUAAUGUGGCAGUUCUUUGAUUUACAUUGCAUUUCAUAGACAUAAUUCAUAGAUUGUUAUUUUAUAGAUACUAUAUAUGACAUUUAUAAGGACUGGGAUUCAAUAACAGACACAUUUAAAAUACAU